CGCGUAGUCGGCUUAGAUAGUCUGAUGUUAAAUUUCAGGGCUUAACCCUGAAACCGCAUCGGAAACGUUUAAGCUAGAGUGAACAAGAGGUAGGCGGAACGUGUAGUGUAGCGGUGAAAUGCGUUGAUAUUACACGGAACACCAAAAGCGAAGGCAGCCUACUGGUGUUUUACUGACGAUGAGGUGCGAAAGUGUGGGUAUCGAACAGGAUUAGAUACCCUGGUAGUCC
rnacentral:rRNA from 1 species